CCCUAUGAAGCUUUACUGUAGCUUGGAAUUGAAUUUGGGUUUAUUUUGCGCAGUAUAGGUGGGAGGCUAAGAUAUUAUAUUUGCGGAUAUAAAGUAGCCAACAGUGAGAUACCACUCUAAUUAAACUAGAAUUCUAAUCUUGAUGCCGUUAUCCGGCCAAGAAACAGUUUCAGGUGGGCAGUUUGACUGGGGCGGUCGCCUCCUAAAAGGUAACGGAGGCGUGCAAAGGUUCCUUCAGACUGGUCGGAAAUCAGUCGUAGAGUAUAAAGGCAUAAGGGAGCUUGACUGCGAGACUUACAAGUCGAGCAGAGACGAAAGUCGGCCUUAGUGAUCCGACAGUACUGAGUGGAAAGGCUGUCGCUCAACGGAUAAAAGUUACUCUAGGG
rnacentral:rRNA from 1 species